CUCGAAAGAGCAGCUAAUACCGCAUACGACCUGAGGGUGAAAGCGGGGGAUCGCAAGACCUCGCGCAAUUGGAGCGGCCGAUAUCAGAUUAGGUAGUUGGUGGGGUAAAGGCCCACCAAGCCAACGAUCUGUAGCUGGUCUGAGAGGACGACCAGCCACACUGGGACUGAGACACGGCCCAGACUCCUACGGGAGGCAGCAGUGGGGAAUUUUGGACAAUGGGCGCAAGCCUGAUCCAGCCAUGCCGCGUGCGGGAAGAAGGCCUUCGGGUUGUAAACCGCUUUUGUCAGGGAAGAAACGAGUUUCUCUAAUACAGAGACUUAAUGACGGUACCUGAAGAAUAAGCACCGGCUAACUACGUGCCAGCAGCCGCGGUAAUACGUAGGGUGCAAGCGUUAAUCGGAAUUACUGGGCGUAAAGCGUGCGCAGGCGGUUAUGCAAGACAGCAUGUGAAAUCCCCGGGCUCCAACCUGGCGAACUGCCUUUGUGACUGCAUAGCUAGAGUACGGUAGAGGGGGAUGGAAUCCGCGUGUAGCAGUGAAAUGCGUAGAUAUGCGGAGGAACACCGAUGGCGAAGGCAAUCCCCUGGACCUGUACUGACGCUCAUGCACGAAAGCGUGGGGAGCAAACAGGAUUAGAUACCUGGUAGUCCAGCCCUAAACGAUGUCAACUGGUUGUUGGGAGGGUUUCUUCUCAGUAACGUAGCUCACGCGUGAAGUUGACCGCCUGGGGAGUACGGACGCAAGGUUGAAACUCAAAGGAAUCGACGGGGAACCCGCACAAGCGGUGGAUGAAUGUGCUUUAAUUCGAUGCAACGCGAAAAACCUUACCUACCCUUGACAUGCCAGGAAUCCUGCAGAGAUGUGGGAGUGCUCGAAAGAGAACCUGGACACAGGUGCUGCAUGGCCGUCGUCAGCUCGUGUCGUGAGAUGUUGGGUUAAGUCCCGCAACGAGCGCAACCCUUGUCAUUAGUUGCUACGAAAGGGCACUCUAAUGAGACUGCCGGUGACAAACCGGAGGAAGGUGGGGAUGACGUCAGGUCAUCAUGGCCCUUAUGGGUAGGGCUACACACGUCAUACAAUGGCCGGGACAGAGGGCUGCCAACCCGCGAGGGGGAGCUAAUCCCAGAAACCCGGUCGUAGUCCGGAUCGCAGUCUGCAACUCGACUGCGUGAAGUCGGAAUCGCUAGUAAUCGCGGAUCAGCUUGCCGCGGUGAAUACGUUCCCGGGUCUUGUACACACCGCCCGUCACACCAUGGGAGCGGGUUCUGCCAGAAGUAGUUAGCCUAACCGC
rnacentral:rRNA from 1 species